GCUCCCUGCUUCCAUGGCCCUCGGCUUCUCCAGCUGCCGGUGCUUGCCCUCUGCCAUGGCCGCGCCGGAUUGAAGCCCCUGCCAUGGCACUUCGCUUCCUCUGCGACGUUCUCCUCCCUCUAAUCUUUCUGCUCGCCGGCAGUAAUAUCCAGUCGCGCCCUGGGAUUUUGCCCGAAGCUAUGCACGCCCGGUCGAUCUCCCUGCUCCAGCGCUGCGCCCGACUCCAGCCAGCUCUGCUCCUCUUUCUCUCUGCUCGGCGUCCUUCCUCUGCCCGCUGAGUCCCUCCAUCGCCUGGCCGCGCCCAGCUUCUUUGCUCCGUGCGCGCGCCUGCUCCUAUGCGGCGCGGAACUUCCUCUGCGUCCAGGUCCCUCAGCUCGCGUCCAUGCCGCGGCGUCCUGGUCCCUACUUGACCGUGUCACUCUGCGCUCGCGUCGCUGUCUGGUUCCGAGCGCCUGGGUCUUCUUUCCCCUGCGCUCGGUCAUAGUCGCUGCGAGCCGUGAAACUCCCUGUGUCGAGCUCGGAUCCCUGCGCAGCGGAGCUUUUCCCCUAGCCAAGAUCGUCAUUGCGCGCAGAUUUUCUUUGCUGCUCGCCGCGCUCGAUUCGUCGUGCGCUGGGCGCUGUCCGGCGCCGGUAUUCGCCGACCCCGCCUCACCAUGGGUGUGUGUCAUCAAUCUCGCCCUGUUCUGUCCACUCGAUGUCGCGUGCUUCUGUGCCGUUUGCUACGCUUGGCACAUCCGUGCCAUUCGUGUUCGACAUGUCCCUGGCACGGUUGUUUACAGCUGCUCGGAUAAACUUCUCUGUUUCGGCGUGUUCGCCAUCGACCGCCCCCGGUGCUCGACGAAUGGCUGGAACCCGGAAUUCGUCGUCGUUUCUCAUCCGCGAUCUCGUCAACCUCUGCUCGACAAGUGUUCGAUGAAGGGCCUGAGCCAAGUGUUGUUGCUACUUCCACGAAUUUCUCAUCGAAUUGGUAAUAGUACUCUAGCUCGCUACUCCUACUAAUCAAUUAAUUCGAUGAAUAUAUUGGAUGAAUAUUACCCGCGACGUUAGAAUCAGAUACUUGUGAUGUGCUGUAGUAAUUAUCUGUAUUUCAUUGUAUAUGUUUGAUGUUAGGUUAUUUCUCUACGGGAUAGGAUAUUGUAUUUCGAUAUUUAAUCUCGUCUGGUAUGUAGACUUGUUAGGUGUUCGAGAAAAUGUCUGAAUUAGAAAUCGUUGUUGUUAUCAGGUGUUGAGUCAAAUAUGGUCCCAAUGAGCUGUGCCGUUUUUAUUGCUAUUAGAAUUGAUGAAUGGUUCGAUUAAAUAUAUUAUCACGACUCUUAUUUAUAGCACAGAUGCGCGGUAGCGAUCUGCGUUACUUAGCGCUAGUUUGUUUCCUUUGUGUGUUUGC
rnacentral:lncRNA from 1 species